GUGCCAGCAGCCGCGGUAAUACGUAGGGUGCAAGCGUUGCCCGGAUUUAUUGGGCGUAAAGGGCGCGUAGGCGGCUCUGCACGUUCGUUGUGAAAUCGCCCGGCUCAACUGGGCGGGGUCAGCGGAUACGGCAGAGCUUGAGCAAGCUAGGGGGCAAUGGAAUUCCCGGUGUAGUGGUGGAAUGCGUAGAUAUCGGGAGGAACACCAGUGGCGAAGGCGGUUGCCUGGGGCUUUGCUGACGCUGAUGCGCGAAAGCGUGGGGAGCGAUCCGGAUUAGAUACCCGGGUAGUCC
rnacentral:rRNA from 1 species